GACGAACGCUGGCGGCGUGCUUAACACAUGCAAGUCGAACGGAAAGGCCCUGCUUGCAGGGUACUCGAGUGGCGAACGGGUGAGUAACACGUGGGUGAUCUGCCCUGCACUUCGGGAUAAGCCUGGGAAACUGGGUCUAAUACCGGAUAGGAGCCAUUUUUAGUGUGAUGGUUGGAAAGUUUUUUCGGUGUGGGAUGAGCUCGCGGCCUAUCAGCUUGUUGGUGGGGUAAUGGCCUACCAAGGCGGCGACGGGUAGCCGGCCUGAGAGGGUGGACGGCCACAGUGGGACUGAGAUACGGCCCAGACUCCUACGGGAGGCAGCAGUGGGGAAUAUUGCACAAUGGGCGCAAGCCUGAUGCAGCGACGCCGCGUGGGGGAUGACGGCCUUCGGGUUGUAAACUCCUUUCGCUAGGGACGAAGCUUUUUGUGACGGUACCUAGAUAAGAAGCACCGGCUAACUACGUG
rnacentral:rRNA from 1 species